rnacentral:tRNA from 1 species
CUGUAAGCAUAGUUUAACAAAAACAU